CUUUGGACCCAAUGGGCGGAGGUGUACGUUCUAGGCCCGGAUCAUGAAAUAGCGUAGAUGCAUAUAGAAAACAAUAUUUGAUGUAGGCCUAUUCUUAUAUAAAACUAUACAUGAUAUAGCUGGAGUACAAAACUCUCAGAUUCACGAUUAUACCGUGCAUUGCUGAACGUGCGGACACCAAGCCAAACCAGGGAGCUAUAUAAACUAUGUGGUUUGUAACUCUGCACUGAUGUGUUCGUUGUAGAAAAAGGGAUGAAGCACUAUGGACCUAGCGGUGGUUAUAACUUCUUUACAGGGACUUUACAGAUACCAGUCUGACUGAUGACGUGUCCAGUCUGACCUCUGCUCAGGUGGUGUCCCUGUAAGACUGGCUGACCUUCUAUCACAAGGACUACAAGCCUAUGGGCAGACUGGUGGGGGCAGUUUUACAGUGAUGGUGGAGAGCCCACAGAGGCCUUGCUGCAGGUGGAGGCAGCCCUGGAGGAGGGGCAGACACUCAAGGACCAAGCCCAGGCUGAGAAGUAACACCUCCCAGCCAGCAACUCAGAGUGGAGUGCUGCCAGGAGAGGACGGGUCUGGUGCUCCACCAAGAGGAACUGACAUCAUGGUGCACAGAGAAACUUCGUGCAUGUUUGACAUUGCAGUCGGAAGUUCAGGAGACUACCGACUGAUUGAUCUACAAAUCACCCGGAAUCAUAAUGGUGGAGUGCAGGCCGGCAUACCUAGGCCGGCAUACCAAGGGUACUGUUCUCUCCUGGCUCGGGCAGCUCUCACUGUGUAUGUGUCCAGAACUCCUCCACAGUGAAAAACCCUAACAUCCAGGAUUAUGAGGGCUGCCCCCCGCUCACGCUGAGUCAUGUCCUAUCAGAGAGUAGAGGGUGAGGUUAGACAAAAGGGGGCUCUGUGAAGGCUGGGCCACCUCACACACGGACUAUCUACAAGGGCCUAUAUACUGUUAUCUAAAACUUCCCAAGAGUUCUGAAUUAGAAUGACUGGGUAUCUGAUUGUCAGUUUGAAGAUAACCUCUGUUGAAUGGUUUCUGUUCUUUAUGCAUGUACAUUUUAGUUUAAUUAAUAUGCAAUAUGUCAACUAAUUGCAAGUGCAAAUGGCCAAAUACUGUACACUCAAUAAUUAGGAAUAGAAGGGAAAUGUUUUAUACUACAUGGAACCAAAAUAUAAAUGCCACAUGUAAAGUGUUGGGCCCAUGUUUCAUGAGCUGAAAUAAAAUAUCACAGAAAUGUUCUUUGCGCAAAUAGUGUAUUUCUCUCAUUUUGUGCAAAAAUGUGUAUUUAAUCCCUGUUAGUGAGCAUUUCUCCUUUGCCAAGAUAAUCCAUC